UGGGGAAUUUUGGACAAUGGGCGCAAGCCUGAUCCAGCCAUGCCGCGUGCGGGAAGAAGGCCUUCGGGUUGUAAACCGCUUUUGUCAGGGAAGAAAUCUUCUGAGUUAAUACCUCGGGAGGAUGACGGUACCUGAAGAAUAAGCACCGGCUAACUACGUGCCAGCAGCCGCGGUAAUACGUAGGGUGCAAGCGUUAAUCGGAAUUACUGGGCGUAAAGCGUGCGCAAGGCGGUUUUGUAAGACAGAGGUGAAAUCCCCGGGCUCAACCUGGGAACUGCCUUUGUGACUGCAAGGCUUGAGUGCGGCAGAGGGGGAUGGAAUUCCGCGUGUAGCAGUGAAAUGCGUAGAUAUGCGGAGGAACACCGAUGGCGAAGGCAAUCCCCUGGGCCUGCACUGACGCUCAUGCACGAAAGCGCGGGGAGCAAAACAGGAUUAGAUACCCCU
rnacentral:rRNA from 1 species